UUCUCUUUACAUGAACUCUUUCGGAUGAGCCCAAUGGGACCCCCUAUAUCCUUGAAUUCAAACGCCGUCGAGUCGAGCCUCAUUAAAGUCCAAACUUGGACUGAUAUACACAGGAUAGCACAAACAUACAAGCUGCUAUAUGCUGAUAUACAGCAUGUAUACAGGGAAAACAGUAGCUUCACAUUAUCACGCUAUUUAUGAUGGAAAGUGGAG
rnacentral:lncRNA from 1 species